UUCUGCAGCCUUUGAGUCUGAAACAUCGUCCAGCAAACCCUCACCGAGAACCGAUAGCUGAACUAACGUGAGGCCUUUCUGUGGCGAGAUGCUGACAUUUCACACAGGUCUGGAACAAAGUAGCUACAUAAAAGCAGUGUUUGACGUGGGCUUCAUUGUGGUUCAUUUGAAAGAUGACCCACAUGUAGACCUACCAUUUACAAGAUCCUAAACUAGCUCAACUUUGAAAAUAAACUGAGAUUGAUGCAAAAGUUUAGACCAAACAUUAACCUUCAAUAACCCUUGGUGGGGUGUAACCGGUGUAACUAGGACUGAACGUGAUGAAACAUGACGCUCAGCCAACAAACUGAACUCAAAUAACGUGACUGAGUAUUAGUUUAGUUAAUUUAGUGGACACUCCUCCAUCGUGGCAAGAACAUAGGAUCAUCUCCCGGUUCAUGGAGCCCAGAAGGCAGGAGACGAGUCAAGGUGGCAUCCCGGCUGUUAGCAUAGCCGGCUAAAGAUUAAAGUUGGCAAGCUGCAAAGGCCAUCAGCUAGAGGUCUAAGAAACAGUGGGAUGUGAUUGAGGCAUUCCUCGUGCAAUGUUCUGCAGUAGACUCCAAAGCACUGCUGCGGAUGAUUAUCUACGCGACAGAAAACGGGCUUGGCAUCGCGAGGCAAGGAGGAGAGAGAGUUCUUUGGUGGCUUGGCGCGCUUUUCCAUUGGAAACUACACUGAGCGACCUCGCGUGAAGGCGGGGUGCAGCCGAGGUCUGUCACCGAGCCUCGACACCACCACCACGCAUACUAUCGGCGUGCACAAUUUUUUUUUGGAAUCAACACAGUCUCUCUCUCUCGUGUAUUCCACCUCAAUUGUCUCACACACAUCAAAGGCGCUAUAGAGUGAUAUCUCCGUACUCCUUCUGCACCUUAAAGCCAUCCUACUGUAUGUGUUGGUAUUAGCUUUGUGAAGCACGUGCACACCCGCGGCACGCAUGCUCGGGAAACAUGGAGCCAAUGAAAUCCCAUUCUGUGACUACCAUGUCGCCACUACCUGGCAGCGGGAAGGCCCGCCUUUUAAGCCGCCUGCAACCUGGUGGUUUAUGAAAAUGCUUUACUAGAGGUUUAUUAGCGCUGCGCAAACUGAACAGUUUGUCCUGUCCCCUUUUAAAGUUUAGCUUUAGCUAAUAGCUUCAGACAUUAAGAUCAUUUAAGGGAUUCUGUUAUUCUGUUACAUCCCAAAUAAUGGCCUCGGUUUGAUAAGAUUUUGUUUAAGGAAGGGGAUUACACCUGGACACUGCUAAGGUUUCAUCAUAGUCAAAUUAAUGAGUUUCAUCAAUGAUAAAACAAUACCUUGAUUCUGAGCAUGCAGAUGCAAGAUAUGCUAAAUACGAAAUCAGACACCAUUUCAUUAAUUUCGGUUUGGGUACAUUCAACUAGCUUCUUUAAUGAAUAUGCCAAUUUGUAUUAACAUUUCUUUUGUUGUUACGGGACCCAGGAAAGUCUAUGUAAGAUAUGCUGCCAGUGAUUAGACUUUAUAACCGCAAGUAGAAGAUGAUGAACAGCUUGUAUUUGUGUCAUUUAAAUGUGCAUUAAGUCAAUUAUUGUUUUUGUUUUUUAUUGUUUUUAUAACAGCCAGUUCCUUAGAUUGUAGCUUGUCUACCAAUUUAGAGAUAAAAAUGAUUGAUAACCGAAGAUCAUAGGUUUGAAUCCCGUCUGUGCUUUGCUGAAGGAAAACAGAAUUUUUUACAGACUGUGGAUAAUGGAAAAUGAGUCGUCCACCAGGCUUUAAAACAAGUAAAGAUUUGGAUGUUGUGUUAAAGGCUACAGCUAUUUAGUGUCUAGCAGAACAUUUUACUGUUAGAAAGAUCCUUCUCCAUAAUAAAAUCUCAGUCAAGAUUCUUCCCAGCGGAAUACAUUGUGUCAUUCUGUGUGUGUGUGUGUGUGUGUGUGUGUGUGUGUGUGUGUGUGUGUGUGUGUGUGUGUGUGUGUGUGUGUGUGUGUGUGUGUGUGUGUGUGUGUGUGUGUGUGUGUGUGUGUGUGUGUGAGAGUGUGCUUGUGAG